UACAGAGGUCCCGAGCGUUGUUCGGAUUCACUGGGCGUAAAGGGUGCGUAGGUGGCUGGGAAAGUUUGAUGUGAAAGCUCAGGGCUUAACCCUGAAAUGGCAUUGAAUACUGCCUGGCUGGAGGUUUGGAGGGGGGACUGGAAUUCUUGGUGUAGCAGUGAAAUGCGUAGAUAUCAAGUGGAACACCAGUGGCGAAGGCGAGUCUCUGGACAUUUCCUGACGCUGAGGCACGAAAGCCAGGGGAGCAAACGGG
rnacentral:rRNA from 1 species